GGCAAUCUCCGAAACCGAAUAGGAGUCUGUAAUUAAAAUUCGCAGGUCUGCUUUCUCCACAGUUUCUGGGCUUUUCCAGUUGGGUUUUGGAUAUUGGACCAUCUUUGAAUCAAAGAAAAUUCUCUAAGCUUCGCGUGGGCUGUAAGAUCGUCAAAAUCUGAUGUACGGAACUCCAGAUAUGGCCCAAACAGCGAAAUAAUACGUGUAGCCCAAUAAAUCUGAAUUUCCAUCCAAAUUUGAGUCCAAUUAAACUUUAUUUCUUCAAAUCCUUCCAACUUUAGGAAUUACUUGCACUCUACAAUAAAACAUUAAAAUCUACUCCUAUUAAAUAAAUAUCCAAAUUAAUGCAAAAUACAAUUAAAUAUGAGAAUAAAAUCAUCUAGAAUAUAUAUAAAAUAUACUCUAUCAAAAUAUCCCACACUAAGCAUUUGCACGUUCUCGGGCAAAUAAGUGAAAUAAAAUAUCUAUAACUAACUACUAUAACUUUCGUAGAUAACACGAUUGCAUUGAGCGCAUGCAACAAGCCGUUAAACCCCUAGGCUGCCCUAGUAGGACGAGUUUUGUCUCGUGAGGGUUUGUAGAAGAUAUACCCACAAAAUCAAAUAUUUUCUGCCAAGUCUCAAGAAUGCGACUAAUAUGAAUGCAAACUAAAUGAAUAUGCAUAUCCAAUCAUGAAAGCAUUAACCUUGUCAACAUAUGAUCUUCAGAAUAAGCAACAUUCAAGGCAUUAAUCUAUGUCACAUAUUAGUCACACAACUCUUCCACUGCAAGUACGGAGUGCCUCGUGUGUGCUCAACAUGCUCUCUAAUGAAACAAAACAGAGACCAACAAACUUCAACAGAGUCUCAACCAUAAGUCGUUAAUCUGAAUAAUGCUUAAACACUUCGUUACAUUAGAGUCACUAUAGCUUAGGGUCACCAAGGAACUCCUAUGUCUCUCUUAUAUUUUUCUCUUUUUUUUUCUAUGCUCGGUCUAAGGUCGGGACGCUUCCCAGGGUAAGUGAGUUACGACCACCAUAAGACUUCGCUAGCUCUUUAUUUAUCUUUUUUUUAGUCAAAUAAUUCUCCAGUAACCAAGGGUUGUGAAAAGUCACCAAGAAAAUUUUCUAUUUCUAGUACAUCACUUAAUACCAGCACAUGCACAUGGAUCGUCCCUUUCACAUGACAUUUUGUUAUCACCCAUUGAUCUCAAAGGAGUACUUGAUACUUUAUUUUCAACUUUUUAUUUUUUUUUAGAAAGGCAUAUACAUCCCAUGGCUUCCCCAAACUUAAGAUUUACAUACUCUAAGCUCAAAAGAGAAUAAUUAAAAUUCUACGCCCGACUCAUAGCAAAGACUCAAGAAUUAAGCUAGCCUAAGUCUCGGUUCUAGAGCAUUUUAUAGUGUAAAAACAAUUUCCGCACAAGCAAUUUCUAAGCAUGCAAGACAUCACAUAUGAUCAAGAAUACUAGCCAAGAAUUAUGCGAAUAAACUCAUCACAAGAAAUUAACUCGGUAUUAUAUACUUUCAUGAAUUAUGCAAAUGCAAACUAAAAGGAAAAAAAAAUACUAAAAAAAACUAAAAAUUAAAUAACUACAUGCUCUAAUUUAAUGCAACUAACAUGAAUUUUCUAAACUUAAGACAUGGCAAUAUACAAUUUUUUAUUUUCUAUUUUUUUUUAAUUUUAAUCAUAUAUAAUUUUUUUUUUUAUUUUUUCAUUCAUUAAGAACUCAUCCCCGCACUUAAAUGGUUCAUUGUCCUCAAUGAAUAAAUUAAUAAUAAUAUAUUCCUAAAAAUAUGAAAAGAAUAAAAUUACAAAAAUUAUACAAAGAAAAGUUAGAAAUACUCCCCAAGUGUAUAAGCACGAAAUGCCGCUCCAAGAAGAAAAUCAAGUGUGGCUCCAUGAAAUUAAUUUUCCAGCUCCAAGAAAGGUCCAAAUAUUAAACUUGAUAAAUCUAACACAACUGAACAAUUGACCAAGUGGUUGCAGUGUUGUCUUUAAAUCUUGAAGACCAUGGUUCGAUUCUUGCUAGCUGGUCUAAUUUUUAGAAAAAAGAAACCCAUGUCUUGGACCACAAAAUUAGACAUCAGCUCUGAAAUAAUGUGCUCCGCUUAAAAGUUGGAAAUCUGGGCUUUGUUGAGUUGCGCGCUCAGCUUGAUUUGGCUGUCCAAGGCCCAAUAACGAACAUGUGGGCCCAAAAUCAGGGCGGUUCCGCAAAAUGCAAAGUAAUGCCAAAGUGAAAUGUGCGCGGCUGUUGUGACAAAGUCAACAGAUUCAACAAAAUCAACAAAUUCUUGGGCUAGAAGAGGAGAUGUUGUCUGGGCUGUACAAAGGCCCAGUAUAAAUGAGCGCGCUACGCAGCACGCCAACAGACUUUCAGCAGAAGCUUUAGAGCCGUAACUAGCGAAUGGAGAGCUGCGGCUCUUUUUAUUCUGUCAAGGCUAGCUCCGAGGAGGGAACAGAGAGCUGCGAGGAGGGAACAGAGAGCUGUAGCUCUAAAAAUUCUGCCCAAGCGAGAUACGGGGAGUGUUAGGAGCCGUUCCAAAUUUCUGCUGAGUUUUUUUUUCUAUUUCAAAAUUGUUAGAAAUAUUUCUUUAAUCCUGAAACACGUCACACAAUUUAUCAAGGCACCUUCUGGGAGUACAAAGAAAUUAUAUAUAUAUAAAUCUAAUCAGUAAAUAAAAUAUUAUAAAUAUGAUAAUAUAAUAAUACUAAUAAGUGGAAUACUAAUUAUACAAACUUACAAGAACCAUGGGUUGCUUCCCAAGAAGCGCUUUUUUUUUAAGGUCUUUAGCUCGACCUCCUCGAGAGUUAUUCUGACGAAGGGGUAGAAAGUGGAAUCUCCACCUUCUCAACGAUUGGCUCACCAGCUUUGUAAUGCUUCACUCUUUGACCGUUCACCUUAAAAGUUCCACCACUCGUAUUCCAUAAUUCAAUGGAGCCAUAAGGGUAGACUUUUCGAAUUUUGAAUGGACCCGACCAUCUUAAACGAAGCUUACCAGGAAAGAAUUUCAAUCUGGAAUUAAAUAAAAGGACUAAAUCGCCUUCAUUAAAUUCCUUUCGCAGUAGACCCUUGUCAUGCCAUCUUUUUGUCUUCUCCUUGUAAAGCUUAGAACUUUCAUAAGCCUCAAAACGAAGCUCAUCUAGCUCGUUAAGCUGAAGAAGUCGUUUCUCGCCAGCUGCUUGCAAAUCAAAAUUUAAGUUUUUGAUGGCCCAAAAUGCACGAUGUUCCAACUCAACUGGAAGAUGACAGGCUUUCCCAUAAACCAGUCUGUACGGAGUUGUUCCAAUAGGAGUUUUAAAUGCAGUUCUGUACGCCCAAAGUGCAUCAUCAAGCUUCAUAGACCAAUCCUUUCUUGAUUUUGCAACUGUCUUUUCCAAGAUAGUCUUAAUUUCCCGGUUAGAGAUCUCAACUUGACCACUAGUUUGAGGAUGAUAAGAAAGGCCUACCUUAUGAUGUACUCCAUAUUUCUUCAACAUAGCUUCAAAGCGAUUUUCAAGAAAGUGCUUUCCUCCAUCACUAAUUAGAAUCCUUGGCACUCCAAAUCUAGGGAAAAUUGUCUUCUUGAAAAAUUUGCUCACAACACGUGCAUCAUUAGUGGGAGUUGCAAUAGCUUCAACCCACUUAGAAACAUAGUCAACAGCAAGUAAGAUAUAUUUGUUCCCAAAAGAUGACGGGAAUUGUCCCAUGAAGUCAACUCCCCAAACAUCAAAAGGUUCCACUUCUAGUAUGUUGUUUAGAGGCAUCUCAUUUCUCCUUGAGAUAUUUUCGGUUCUUUGACAACGAUCACAAGAGUGAACAUAGAGAUGAACAUCCUUAAAAAGAGUGGGCCAGUAAAAACCGCAUUGAAGAAUCUUUGCAGCAGUUUUAGUAGUACUUGCAUGGCCUCCACAUGGUGAAUCGUGACAAUGUGAGAUUAUAGAGGCAAUCUCACUUUCUGGAACACAUCUUCUAAUGACACCAUCUGCACAAGAUUUAUAGAGAAAUGGAUCAUCCCAAAAGUGCUUCCUCACAUCAUAGAAAAACUUCUUCUUCUGCUGAGAUGAAUACCCAUGAGGAACAGUACCACUAGCUAAAUAAUUAGCUAUAUCAGCAAACCAAGGGACAUCUAUCCUUGCAAGAGAAAAUAGAUGAUCAUCAGGAAAUGAAUCAUCAACUGGAAGAUCAUUAGUACAAUCACUAUCAAGAACAAGACGUGAAAGAUGAUCAACAACUACGUUCUCAGCCCCUUUCUUGUCUUUAAUCUCCAAGUCAAAUUCUUGAAGAAGUAGAAUCCAACGAAUCAAGCGAGGCUUUGCAUCCUUUUUGUUCAUCAAGUACUUCAGUGCUGCAUGGUCAGUGUGAACAAUAACUUUCGAUCCAACAAGAUAUGACCGAAACUUUUCCAUAGCAUACACCACUGCUAGCAAUUCCUUCUCCGUUGUUGCAUAGUUAAUCUGAGCUCCAUCCAAGGUCUUACUUGUAUAAUAGAUGGCAUGAAGCUUUCCAUCCUUCCUUUGUCCCAAGACUGCACCAAUAGCUUGAUCACUGGCAUCACACAUGAUUUCGAAUGGCAAACUCCAAUCUGGUGGUUGUAUGAUUGGAGCAGAGAUAAGAGCUUUCUUUAACCUGUCAAAAGCCUCAACACAAGCAUCAUUAAAAACAAAAGGGACAUCUUUGCCUAAGAGCUCAGUUAGAGGUCGAGCUAAUUUUUAGUAAAAAUCUUUUAGGAUUUUUGUGGUUGAACUGGUGCAUUGAAAGGUGCUCUUGGUUGAAAACCAGGUGGUUGAGAUUGAGCUUGGUUAUUCUUGUAUGAGAAAUUUGGAUGAUCUUUCCAACCAGGAUUGUACGUGUUGGAGUAAGGAUUGUAUUGUUGCCUCUGAUUCUGAUUGUAAAGGGCAUUUGCUUGCUCCAUAGCCAUAUCAGAUGAAUUGUAUUGACAAGCAUAUUGAGUGUGCCCUUGUGUACCACAUAUUUCACACGAAGAAACUGUAGAAGAGGACCCAGACUUUAGCUCCUUGAUCUCACUAGCCAAUUCUUUCAUAGAACUCGUCAACAUGGUUAAAGCAUCAACAUCGUACGUACCACCCUUCUUGGGUUGAUUUCGAUCACUGUAAGGAUAAUUGUCAUUAGACGCCAUCUCGUCUAAAAGAGUUCUUGCAUCUUCGGUACUCUUUGCCAUAACUGAUCCGCCAGAUGCGGCAUCGAUAAAGAUUCGAAACUCUUGUGUCAACCCAUUAUAGAAUGUUUGGAUCAGCAACCAAUCAGGAAUUCCAUGGUGAGGACAUUGCCUUUGAAGGCGUUUGAAUCUUUUCCAAGCAUCAUGUAGUGAUUCAUCAUCUUCUUGACGAAAAUUAGAUAUGUAAUUCCUUAGCUUGGCAGUCUUCUUUUGGCUAAAGAAUUUAAGUAGAAAGGCCUUCGCUAAAACAUCCCAAGUAGUAAAUUUGUUUGGCCCUUCAUCUUUCAACCAAUCCUUAGCUGCAUCCCGAAGAGAAAAUGGAAACAAACGCAGUUUGAUAGCAAAGCAUCAUUAAAAACAAAAGGGACAUCUUUGCCUAAGAGCUCAGGGUCAGCUUUAUCAUAUCACACUUUUCAAGAAAACUCUCGAGAUGAUCAACUGGAUUUUCAGAAGCCAAGCCCGCAAAAGAAUCAAUAGAGAUGAAUUGAAUGAACUGAGGCUUGAGCUCGAAGUGAGUAGCUGUGACAGCUGGUCUGAGAAUAGAGGACAUGACGUCUGUAGUGUCUUGCAUACCAUAUUCCCUCAAAGAUUUCGCUGGUACUUCUUCGCCCAUAAUCUCCUUGUUUUUGUUUCUCCUUUGUUCACCGGAUUGCUUUCUUGCUGUAGCUUCAAUUUCAGGUUCAAAUGGAAUCAAAUUUUCUGUACCUGAACUUCGAGUGUGCAUAUAUCAAGAAAACUAGAAACAAAGGAUCAGAAAACAAGAGAUAAUAGCCGAAGCAACACAACUAAAGACUUAGCUAAAAAUAUCAAAAAUAGACUAAUCUAACACCACUUUGUCCCCGGCAGCGGCGCCAAAAAUUUGACAAGGCUGUCGUAUACCUAUCAAAUAAAAAUCCCAACAAAUCCUCCUAACAAUGUAGCAGGGUAAGUCGGAGUCGAUCCCACAGAGACAAAUGUGUCAAACACUAGUUAUUCCUGACCAAUUUCAACUAAGCAAAGAACACAAUAAUAUUUUAGAGAUGAUUAUACUAAUUAUACGAAAGCAAAUAUGGAUUUUAUCAAUUAAUUAAAAACAUCCAGAAUUAAGUAUCCCCACUAGCAUGAAUCAAUGCAAUUACGAUUCCCUACCCCAAUCAAUCAAAUAUAUUACUCAAGAGGAAAGAUGCGCCCUAUAAAAUACCAUUAACCUCUUCCGAGUAUUAAUGGCUUCUCUAAAAAUACAAUCAAGCCUAUUUCCAUGGUAUCAUGCAAUUUAGAGACAUUAAACACAGCAUCCUGGCUUCCUAACAAUCCAUUCUACCUAUUUCCAUGGAGAAUUUCAUGUCCUUAUUGGAUAAAUCACAACCAUCUAAAUCCAACUUCCGAUGGUAAAUAGAUAUCGGUUCAAACAAAUCACAUAAUCAUGCCUGACAUGUAAUUGUAAAUCAGCACAACUCAAUAAGCGAGAGCAAUUAAACAAUCAAUUUGGGGUUGGGGGAAUCAUGCAUCUAUCAUAGCUAGGGUUCAACUUAACCCCGGAUUAUAGAUCUACUCACUCAUAAUUAAACUAACAAAACACAAGAUGUAAUAAAAACGCAUAAUUAAACUAUUGUUGAGAAUAGAGAAACAACCUUCAAUUUUCAAAUCUUGAACAAGAAGAAAAGUAAAAGUCUCCUCUCUCCUCUCUCUAUCUCUAUGUAUGUAUCGUGAUAAAAACAAUUGAUAUCCUAGAAUAAAAGUAUUUUAAUGCUUUUAUCAAAUUACAAGGCAAUCUCCGAAACCGAAUAGGAGUCUGUAAUUAAAAUUCGCAGGUCUGCUUUCUCCACAGUUUCUGGGCUUUUCCAGUUGGGUUUUGGAUAUUGGACCAUCUUUGAAUCAAAGAAAAUUCUCUAAGCUUCGCGUGGGCUGUAAGAUCGUCAAAAUCUGAUGUACGGAACUCCAGAUAUGGCCCAAACAGCGAAAUAAUACGUGUAGCCC
rnacentral:lncRNA from 1 species